rnacentral:lncRNA from 1 species
GCUUGUCUGUCCCAUAGCUUUCUAACUUUGUUUCUCCUUUCCAGCUCAAUUACCCCACAAAGGAGAAAGUUUGUGAUUAUUUAUUACCAAUAGCAAAAGAAAAGAAAAAAAUGUGAUACUCAACUAUGUAGCUUCGAAGUUGGUUUGUGUAUUGGCGGCUAUUUUGCAUGCUCCAAAAUGUGCUAUUAUUAUAUUGCUUUGAAGAGGUUAAUAAUCCUUGAAGCCAAAGAUUCAAGAUUCCUGGUAUUUGAUUUGUUGAGUUAGUGCUUUGAGUACUCAAAGUACCCCAUUUUAAGUAAUUUCUUAUUUAUUUUAGUACACGGCUUAUCAGUUGGAAACAUUUUGGUAUAUUCAUUCUUACUUUGAAUGAUGAUGGCAUAAUUUGACAUGACAAUCAAAAGUGAAUGAAGUAAGAGUGGAUUUAAAAUUUUGGACUACUCUACUACCUAAAUAUAGAAAUAUCGAUUAGAUGAUUUA